rnacentral:misc_RNA from 1 species
UCAAAACAGCGGCCUUCGGUCCUCUGCUGCACCCUUGUCUUUUGCGCACCGUAUUGUUUCCUCGGCGGGCUUGCCUGCCGGUUGGACAUCAUAAAACCUUUUUGUAGUUGCAAUCAGCGUCAGAAAAACAAUAAUUAUUA